rfam:Gossypium hirsutum cultivar TM-1 chromosome 20, whole genome shotgun sequence
AAUCCAUAGUGUGGGCAUCUCUGAAUUAGCAUUUUAAAAUGCUCCCAAGCUUCAUGAAAACUAUCUCCUUCUAAUUGUUUAAAAGUUGCAAUCCUCUUUCUGAGUUG